GACAGGGGAGGCGAGCGUUAUCCGGAGUCAUUGGGCGUAAAGGGUACGUAGGCGGCUAGUCAAGUCUGAGGUUAAAGACCACAGCUUAACUGUGGGAAGGCCUUGGAAACUGACUGGCUAGAGUGGGGCAGGGGUAGCGGGAAUUCCCGGUGUAGCGGUGAAAUGCGUAGAUAUCGGGAAGAACACCUGAGGCGAAAGCGCGCAACUGGGCCUCAACUGACGCUGAGGUACGAAAGCUAGGGGAGCGAAUGGG
rnacentral:rRNA from 1 species